rnacentral:lncRNA from 1 species
CCCGAAGCUUCCUUCUAACAUAGAGAAACAAGAAUCCUCAAGAAGAUAUGAGUUAUCUUCAUCCUAAUUAUUUGGAGUGGUCUAGGCUUUACUUUUGAUGCUUCUCUCUUUUUUAGCACCCCUUAAAUUGGUCUGAUAUUUUUUCUUAAAGAAACUAUGGAGGAGUGUAUGUUGGCCUGCCCUCUGAAGCCGCCAGUGUGGUGUCUGGUCAGGCAAAGACUGUACGAAAAAGUUAGGGGAAAAUGCGAUGGGUGGACACUCCAGAAGCUUGCUCAUGAAUUUGGAAGGAAUUUGGCUCCAUGGACAUUGUAUGUACACAGAUAUCUUCAAACAAAUCCUGAGUGGUCUGUGCCACCUCCCCCCGAUCCUAACUGUUUUAAAGCCAGGAGUCUACACCAAAUUGUGGUCAUAGGAGGAAAUGGGUGAGACUCUGUGUCGUCCACCAGUGAAAACCAUAAAGGCUGUUGCUGCCCAGCCUGCACCAUCAGGCUCUGCACCAUAGCAUUCCCAUCCUGGCCUUUCAACACAUUUCACGAAGUCAUGUCUUUUCACUGAUACUCUUUUGAUAGUUUUUAUAUAACACAGUCCUUCUUGUAUUUAUAACAUGGUAUUUGGGCCACGUAAAGGGGUGACCUGAGCUGAUACAUUGCCUCUUGUCCUUUGAUGUUUCUACUUCAUUAUUUUUUAGCUGUAAAGUUGGUAAAUGGAUUCUUACAACUAUCUCCCUUUUUUACUAGCUGAUUUAAGUUUUUUAUUUAAAUGUCAGAGGAUUCCUUUUGUUUAAGAACACUUCAGUACUUGAAAAUGAACUUGUCAAGUUUGCAUGCUGUGCCCACGUGUGGAUUACGGUCCCAUUUUCUUCAAUCAAAGCUUAUGUCAUUGUAACAUUCUGUAGCUGUCCAGUUGCCUCUUCUCCCCUCCUGGAAUCGAAGGAUGUCACUGUGCAAACUCCGAACUGUCUCUUAGGACUGUGGUUGAUGUUUAGUGGGAUAUCUGGAAAGUUCUUAAUUUGCUAACAACGUGUAUAUCUACUUAUGACUGCAGGCUAAGCGACUCAGUUUACCAGUGUAUUUCAACAAUUAAAUAUUUUUAUUCCUCU